rnacentral:rRNA from 1 species
UACAGAGGAUGCAAGCGUUAUCCGGAAUGAUUGGGCGUAAAGGGUGUGUAGGUGGCGCCGUAAGUCGGGUGUGAAAUUUCGGAGCUUAACUCCGAAACUGCAUUCGAUACUGCGGUGCUUGAGGACUGGAGAGGAGACUGGAAUUCAUGGUGUAGCAGUGAAAUGCGUAGAGAUCAUGAGGAAGACCAGUGGCGAAGGCGGGUCUCUGGACAGUUCCUGACACUGAGACACGAAGGCCAGGGGAGCAAACGGGG